rnacentral:rRNA from 1 species
CCAGACUCCUACGGGAGGCAGCAGUGGGGAAUAUUGCACAAUGGGGGAAACCCUGAUGCAGCAACGCCGCGUGAGUGAGGAAGUAUUUCGGUAUGUAAAGCUCUAUCAGCAGGGAAUAGAAAAGAAGGUACCUGAAAAAGAAGCCCCGGCUAACUACGUGCCAGCAGCCGCGGUAAUACGUAUGGAGCAAGCGUUAUCCGGAUUUACUGGGUGUAAAGGGGGCGCAGGCGGCCUUGCAAGUCUGAUGUGAAAGGCCGGGGCCCAACCCCGGGACUGCAUUGGAAACUGCGAGGCUGGAGUGUCGGAGAGGCAGGCGGAAUUCCUAGUGUAGCGGUGAAAUGCGUAGAUAUCAGGAGGAACACCGGUGGCGAAGGCGGCCUGCUGGACUGCAACUGACGUUGAGGCCCGAAAGCGUGGGGAGCAAACAGGAUUAGAUACCCGAGUAA